GCCAGGUGUGGUGGCACACACCUGUAAUCCCAGUGGCUCGGGAGGUUGAGACAGGAGGAUCAUAAGUUCAAAGCCAGCCUCAGCAACAGAGGAGUGUUAAGCAACUCAGUGAGACCCUGUCUCUA
rnacentral:sRNA from 1 species